AUAACAUAGAGGGCAAUGCAACGUUUGCCGGGCCAGCUAAGUACCAGCAAAAGGAGGCGUGAUAUUAAUCAGGGCGACAAGCUGAGUCGAUUUAAGCCUGUUCCUCUGUCUGUUCGUCCGUACGUAUUAACUCGUCAAUCUCAGAAGAUACAUAUGUAUAUGAUUUUUCCCAAAAAUCGUUGAUUACUACCGUUAUUUUGUUAUCGAUAGAAACCUUAUCGAAAAUCAGUAAUAAAAUUAUAUCUCCUACAUCUUUACAGCUAGGGUCUUUAAGUGUAGUUUUAAAUGUAUUUUAUAAAAUCUCGAUUUUUUAUAUACUCACUGACCAGAGAACACAAACGAUUUAAAGAGUUCGGAAUACUCUUCACAAAGAUGGGAAGAAACGGCAAACUAAGGCGAACAAAUUUCAAUUUUCGUGAGCUGCUGCUUGUGCUCACAUGCAUACAUACAUAUACAUAUUUGAGAGAGCAGAGAGCAUCGUGAGAGAGAGAGAGAGCAAGGGAAACAUCCCAGUGGCGACGACCUGAAUGAGGUCUGUUGAAAUAAUGCAUUACAUACGACAAAAAAGUAAUGCAUUACCUAUGAACAUUUUUUUCAGCGCAUUUGUAAUGUACAAAAUAAAAAGUGCUACUCAUACGACAGAAUCGAGCUCUUGUCAACUUCGUUUCUGUAUGCCCCUUCCCCGCUAACCAACAAACGAUUUUCGUCUUUCGUUGCGUCGCGACGAAAUCGCCGAAUUUCGUUUUGGACUUUACCGUUUUUUGCAUGGAAUGCGUGCCUUCUUUCGUUUGGUUUUUUUGUCUAUGCCUAUUCCUUUUGUGUGUAUAGUGUUAAUGAGUGUAAAUACAAGUUCAAAAAUGCAUAUGUGUGAUGAUUUCUGUUUUCGUUUUACCCGCCGCGGCGCGUCACUUUUCUGCUAUUGUUGAGCCGUGCGGACGUAAAUUUAAAGGGAAGUAUCUGCAAUGUAUACAUCAUCUUACAUGUAUUUUUAAUGACAAAAAAAAAAUAAUAUUGUUUAAUUUACAGAUGCUAUAAAAACCGAAGGGUCCACUAAGAAGACCUAUAUAAGUACAAUAAGAAACUGCUUUCGGGUCCAGAAAGGUCGACUUGCAAAGCAGAAGUUCGAUAAUAAGGACAAACUAGAUAAUAAGACAUAGCUUUAGAUUUAGAUGUAGAUAGAUAUAAUAAAAUAGUAAUAAUACAUAGUUUAAGACUAUACAUUUAUUUAUAGAUAUUAAGAAAUAAUAAAUAAUAAUUUUUAAAAAUUAAAACAAAAAAUACUGCAUUACUCAAGCGUUUCUAUCUUUCAAUUAGUAAUCAAUUAUUUCUCCAAUUACAUUGCAUUAAGAAGUAAGCCAUUUUAUAUAGUGGGAAAAUGGGUUGCAGGUAUAUUGUGUUGUAAUGUACGCACAUUACUAACCCAUAAGCGAUUUUGAAAAUGUAUAAGGCGUUUUCUUCAGGUUGCGGAAUUUCUACAUUACAAUAUUUAAAAAGUAUACGCAUGGGUAAUGGAGAGCCGAAGGAAACUUCGUCACCUCAUUACUUUCUGCAUUACAAAAUUCAAUAAUUUCAUGCACCCGGGAGAAAAAGCGGCCAUUCCUUAAAAAAGUAAGGCAGCUUGUAAUCGAUCUUUUCAUGCACACAGGCGACAAGUAAUCCAUGAGUAAUGGACAAAA